GUUAUAGUGGAAGCGUAUGAAGCCGACGUAUCUUGUGCGCAUUCAACUAGCCGAUUUGGCGACUCGAUGGUUAGGCAUUCCGUUAAGGUUGUCGGCUGUCGUGUUCGUUCGAUUGGUUGGCGCAUUUGCGUACAGAGUGCGCUGAAUCGGUCGGUCGUGCUGUUCGAUCGGCGUGUAGAGGACCGAACUUGUUCGGAAUCCUGCAUGUUGUGAGGGCAGAUGCGGUUGGCUGUUCAUGUUGGUUGCCGGUGAAUUCGUGGUGGCGGCACUCGGUUAGAUGGCUCGUGUUGGAUGCUUGCAUACUGCGCUUGUCGUCGACGUCGGGAGUCGUCGCUGCUCCGCAACACAUUCGGCGUAUAGUCGGUCACUCAUAUGACCCGUCUUGAAACACGGACCAAGGAGUUUAAGGUGUGCGCAAGUCAUUGGAUUUGGAAAUUCAAAGGCGCAAUGAAAGUGAGCCACCUGGUGGCUGUGAUGUGAGCGGUCGGCGAUUCGUCCCUCCCGUGCAACAUCGCCCCAUGACUAGGCCUCGGUCUGUUGUGGCGGCUGAGCGUACGCUUUGAGACCCGAAAGAUGGUGAACUAUGCCCGAACAGGACGAAGUCAGAGGAAACUCUGAUGGAAGUCCGAAGC
rnacentral:rRNA from 1 species